CGUCACGGCAGCCGCAGCCACGGCAUGAUCAGCAAACACCAGUUGGUCGACCAAUGAUUAUCCCAGAAGCAUCAACAGUCUCUGUGUGAGCUGCCAAAUAUGGUGAAGUCCAAGCUGUGUAACCUGCAUGACAGGUCCAACGAAGAGGUCCUACUACACCAUGAAGCAGCAGAGGCGAUAUAUGCAGCAGCCGUGACCCCUCAUCUGCUUCUGCUUCAUCUUAUUCCUCAACCCCAUCCUCUAAAAACACCAACGACUUCUGCUCCUCUCCCCAACGGAGCGCUCCCCUUCACCCUAAAUUGAGGCCCGUCCCAAGUAUUACCCUAGAUUAUUGUGUUUUCAACAAAUGCUUUAAAAAUAGAUUUUGAUGUUCCUCAUACAAGCCCCCACGGCACCUUUUGCUCUAAAUACUUUGUGCUGAACUGCCCAAAUGUCUGUUUUUAUUUACGAUUUGUUGAAAUCAAGGCUGUGAACGUAAAUCUGCGUAUUCCAUGAACUGGUGAAAUAAAAGUGGAGUGGAUUGUAUGUGUGUUUUCAUUAAAAGUCGUUGAAAGCAUUUAAACACAGAAUGUAAUGA